rnacentral:rRNA from 1 species
GACGAACGCUGGCGGCGUGCUUAACACAUGCAAGUCGAACGGAAAGGCCCUGCAUGCAGGGUACUCGAGUGGCGAACGGGUGAGUAACACGUGGGUGAUCUGCCCUGCACUUCGGGAUAAGCCUGGGAAACUGGGUCUAAUACCGGCUAGGUGCCAUUUUUAGUGUGAUGGUUGGAGAGUGUUUUCGGUGUAGGAUGAGCUCGCGGCCUAUCAGCUUGUUGGUGGGGUAAUGGCCUACCAAGGCGGCGACGGGUAGCCGGCCUGAGAGGGUGGACGGCCACAUUGGGACUGAGAUACGGCCCAGACUCCUACGGGAGGCAGCAGUGGGGAAUAUUGCACAAUGGGCGCAAGCCUGAUGCAGCGACGCCGCGUGGGGGAUGACGGCCUUCGGGUUGUAAACUCCUUUCGCUAGGGACGAAGCUUUUUGUGACGGUACCUAGAUAAGAAGCACCGGCUAACUACGUG